rnacentral:lncRNA from 1 species
CCAGCAAUCAAGCUCCAUGCCACACUCUACUUCUUCUUUACUAAUCAAUGUGAUGAUGCCCUGCCCGACCCUCUUCUUUUCUCUUUCACCUCCAAUUGCAGUGCCAUCUCUCUCCUCACCACCUCGACCUCCUCCAUCACCUUGAUCGCACCACUACGAUCACCUUUCUCCCCCAUCUUAACCAUCUCCUUCUCUAGAUCCAACCACUCAAUCCUUCGAUUCUAAUUUCAUUGGCUUGAAAUUUGAUGAGCGGUUCAAGUGGAGGAGAUAUGGGUGGAGGGGGAGGGCGGUGGUAGGCCACG